rnacentral:rRNA from 1 species
GACGCCUGCCCAGUGCCGGAAGGUCAAGGAAGUUGGUGAACUGAUGACAGGGAAGCCGGCGACCGAAGCCCCGGUGAACGGCGACAAUAACUAUAACGGUCCUAAGGUAGCGAAAUUCCUUGUCGGGUAAGUUCUGACCCGCACGAAAGGCG